CUUCACCGAGCCGAGCCACAGGGGCCGGUCGGCGGGGCGGUCCUGGCCGUAGGCCGUGAGGAGGGCCUGGGCCUC
rnacentral:antisense_RNA from 1 species